rnacentral:lncRNA from 1 species
GGGAAAUAAGGCAGAGUACAUGGUAAUGAGUGUGGGAAGAAGUAACACUCAGAAUCAAAUGUAGGGUUCUUAAUAAAGAGAAAAGUUAUUCAUAGAUUAAAGAAGAGGAAGACAGAAUGAUGUAUUGAGAGAAUUACAGAUUAAAAAAAGGAGGAAGCUGGAUAGUAGGAGAAGACAGUUAUAUUAAUUGUAGCAGAUAUUAUGAAACAGUUAGAACACCGAGUUUCACACAAGCAUCAUAGGAGGAAACCUUGAAAUAAAGGAGAUUGAGUGUUGGUCCAUACCCCAGUGCUUGAGAAGAGGCUCAUCCAAGCCCCAGUGCUCCACCCUGCAGUCGUAAACGUCCUCAGUUGAGGGCAGGAAGGGGAGAUAGUGGAACUUGCGGAAAAGACUGUCUCUGACACUCCUGUGGUGACAGGUUUUCCAUUUCGAAGCCACGUGACAUUGACCACUGGUGGGGUGAACU